ACAAUGGGCGCAAGCCUGAUGCAGCAACGCCGUGUGAGUGAAGAAGGUUUUCGGAUUCGUAAAACUCUGUCCUAAGGGAAGAAACAAAUGAACGGUACCUUAGGAGGAAGCCCCGGCUAACUACGUGCCAGCAGCCGCGGUAAUACGUAGGGGGCAAGCGUUAUCCGGAAUCACUGGGCGUAAAGGGUGCGUAGGCGGCUUAGCAAGCCAGGGGUGAAAGGCAUUGGCUCAACCAAUGUAAGCCUUUGGAACUGUUAAGCUUGAGUGCAGGAGAAGUAAGUGGAAUUCCUAGUGUAGAGGUGAAAUUCGUAGAUAUUAGGAGGAACACCAGUGGCGAAGGCGACUUACUGGACUGUAACUGACGCUGAUGCACGAAAGCGUGGGUAGCGAACAGGAUUAGAUACCCUGGUAG
rnacentral:rRNA from 1 species